rnacentral:rRNA from 1 species
CCCUUAGAGUUUGAUCCUGGCUCAUAAUCAACGCUGGCGGCGUGCCUAACACAUGCAAGUCGAACGCGAAAGUCCCGCAAGGGGCAAGUAGAGUGGCAAACGGGUGAGUAACACGUGGGUGACCUGCCUUCGAGUGGGGGAUAACGUCCCGAAAGGGACGCUAAUACCGCAUAACAUCCUGCUUUUUAAGAGGUGGACAUCAAAGCUGGGGACCGCAAGGCCUGGCGCUUGAAGAGGGGCCCGCGCCUGAUUAGCUAGUUGGUGGGGUAAUGGCUCACCAAGGCAACGAUCAGUAUCCGGCCUGAGAGGGCGGACGGACACACUGGGACUGAGACACGGCCCAGACUCCUACGGGAGGCAGCAGUGGGGAAUUGUUCGCAAUGGGCGCAAGCCUGACGACGCAACGCCGCGUGGAGGAUGAAGACCUUCGGGUCGUAAACUCCUUUCGAUCGAGACGAAUGGCCUCUGGGUGAAUAGCCCGGGGGAAUGACGGUACCGAGAGAAGAAGCCCCGGCUAACUCCGUGCCAGCAGCCGCGGUAAUACGGGGGGGGCAAGCGUUGUUCGGAAUUACUGGGCGUAAAGGGCUCGUAGGCGGCCAACUAAGUCAGACGUGAAAUCCCUCGGCUUAACCGGGGAACUGCGUCUGAAUACUGGAUGGCUUGAGUUCGGGAGAGGGAUGCGGAAUUCCAGGGUGUAGCGGUGAAAUGCGUAGAUAUCUGGAGGAACACCGGGUGGCGAAAGCGGCAUCCUGGACCGAUACUGACGCUGAGGAGCGAAAGCCAGGGGAGCAAACGGGAUUAGAUACCCCGGUAGUC